rnacentral:rRNA from 1 species
GACGAACGCUGGCGGCGUGCUUAACACAUGCAAGUCGAGCGAUGAAACACCUUCGGGUGUGAAUUAGCGGCGAACGGGUGAGGAACACGUGAAGAAUCUGCCUUCAACUCUGGGAUAACUCCGGGAAACCGGGGCUAAUACCGGAUAUGAGCCUUGAUCGCAUGAUCGGGGCUGGAAAGUUUUUCGGUUGAAGAUGACUUCGCGGCCUAUCAGCUUGUUGGUGAGGUAAUGGCUCACCAAGGCGACGGCGGGUAGCCGGCCUGAGAGGGCGACCGGCCACACUGGGACUGAGACACGGCCCAGACUCCUACGGGAGGCAGCAGUGGGGAAUAUUGGGCAAUGGAGGAAACUCUGACCCAGCGACGCCGCGUGAGGGAUGAAGGCCUUCGGGUUGUAAACCUCUUUCAGUAGGGAAGAAGCGAAAGUGACGGUACCUACAGAAGAAGCACCGGCUAACUAUGUGCCAGCAGCCGCGGUAAUACAUAGGGUGCAAGCGUUGUCCGGAAUUAUUGGGCGUAAAGAGCUCGUAGGUGGUUCGAUACGUCGGAUGUGAAAAUCAGGGGCUCAACCCCUGACCUGCAUCCGAUACGGUCGAGCUAGAGUUUGGUAGGGGAGACUGGAAUUCCUGGUGUAGCGGUGGAAUGCGCAGAUAUCAGGAGGAACACCGAUGGCGAAGGCAGGUCUCUGGGCCAAUACUGACACUGAGGAGCGAAAGCGUGGGGAGCGAACAGGAUUAGAUACCCCUGGUAGUCCACGCCGUAAACGGUGGGCGCUAGUUGUGCGAACCUUCCACGGUUUGUGCGACGCAGCUAACGCAUUAAGCGCCCCGCCUGGGGAGUACGAUCGCAAGAUUAAAACUCAAAGGAAUUGACGGGGCCCCGCACAAGCAGCGGAGCAUGCGGCUUAAUUCGACGCACGCGAGACCUUACCAAGGCUUGACAUAUA